UAAACCGCUUUUCUGAGGGACGAAUUCGUGACGGUACCUCAGGUAAUAAGGGGCUGCUAACUUCGUGCCAGCAGCAGCGGUAACACGAAGGCCCCAAACGUUAUCCGGAAUUAUUGGGCGUACAGGGUCCGCAGGCGGUCUGACAAGUCGAUAGUUAAAACUUUAGGCUUAACCUGAAGCUUGCUAUCGAAACUGUCGGACUUGAGGCUGGAGGAGGCGAGCGGAAUUCUCGGUGUAGUCGUAAAAAGCGCUGAUAUCGAGAGGAACGUCGAAAGCGAAAGCAGCUCGCUGGAACAAGCCUGACGCUCAGGGGCGAAAGCGUGGGUAGCGAAUCGGAUUAGAUACCCGAGUAGUCCACGCCGUAAACUAUGUGCACUAGGUAUUGGAAGUAUCGACCCUUCCAGUGCCGUCCAAAAAAGUUAACGCGUUAAGUGCACCGCCUGGGUAGUACAACCGCAAGGUUUAAACUCAAAGGAAUAGACGGGGGGCCGCACAAGCGGUGGAUCAUGUGGUUUAAUUCGAUGAUACGCGACGAACCUUACCUAGGCUUGACAUCCGGCUGCACGCCCUUGGAAACAAGGGAAGCCUUCGAGGGUGCCGGACAGGUGUUGCAUGGCCGUCGUCAGCUCGUGCCGUGAGGUGUUCCCUUAAGUGGGGUAACGAGCGUAACCCUUGCUGUAUGUUAAAUGAACAUGCGGGACUGCCGGCGCAAGUCGGAGGAAGGUGGGGAUGACGCCAGGUCAUCAUGGCCCUUACGCCUAGGGCGACACACAUGGUACAAUGGCCAGUACAACGGGCAGCCAACCCGCGAGGGGGAGCUAAUCCUACAAAACUGGUCUAAGUUCGGAUUGCAGUCUGCAACUCGACUGCAUGAAGGUGGAAUCGCUAGUAAACGCGGAUCAGUCACGUCGCGUUGAAUAUGUUCUCGGCCCUUGUACUCACCGCCCGUCACACCACGAAAGUUGGCAACACCCGAAGCCCCACGUAAGUGGACUAA
rnacentral:rRNA from 1 species